rnacentral:rRNA from 1 species
UACGUAGGGGGCAAGCGUUGUCCGGAUUUAUUGGGUUUAAAGGGUGCGUAGGCGGCUCUAUAAGUCAGUGGUGAAAUCCGGCAGCUCAACUGUCGAUGUGCCAUUGAUACUGCAGAACUUGAGUACAGACGAGGUAGGCGGAAUUGACGGUGUAGCGGUGAAAUGCUUAGAUAUCGUCAAGAACACCGAUAGCGAAGGCAGCUUACUAGACUGUAACUGACGCUGAUGCACGAAAGUGUGGGGAUCAAACAGG